GAAACGUUUUACAUGUGAGUCCUAAAACUGUAAACCGGAACCCUUCCAUAUGUGAUUCCCGAAACUGUAAAAGGAAACCGUUUCACAUGUGAGUCCUAAAACUAGAAACCAAACCGUUUCA